rnacentral:rRNA from 1 species
UACAAUUUAAAUCACUUAACGAGUAUCCAUUGGAGGGCAAGUCUGGUGCCAGCAGCCGCGGUAAUUCCAGCUCCAAUAGCGUAUAUUAAAGUUGUUGCAGUUAAAAAGCUCGUAGUUGAAUUUCGGGGGAGAGCUCCCGGUCUAGGUUCUGCCUUGUACUGGGAUGGUCAAACCUUUUUUCUGGGGAAGUAGGGUGCACUUAAUUGGGUGCUCUAGGGAACCAGGACGAUUACCUUGAGAAAAAUAGAGUGUUCAAAGCAGGCUUUUGCUUGAAUACGUUAGCAUGGAAUAAUAAAAUAGGACUUUGGUUCUAUUUUGUUGGUUUUAAGGACCAAUGUCAUGAUGAAUAGGGACAGUUGGGGGCAUUCGUAUUCCGAAGCUAGAGGA